rnacentral:rRNA from 1 species
UGAGGAAUAUUGGACAAUGGAUGGAAAUCUGAUCCAGCCAUGCCGCGUGCAGGAAGACGGUCCUAUGGAUUGUAAACUGCUUUAGCAUGGGAGCAAUAAGGUGUACGCGUACACCGAUGAGAGUACCAUGAGAAUAAGCACCGGCUAACUCCGUGCCAGCAGCCGCGGUAAUACGGAGGGUGCAAGCGUUAUCCGGAUUUAUUGGGUUUAAAGGGUGCGUAGGCUGUUUGUUAAGUCAGGGGUGAAAUACCGCAGCUCAACUGUGGAAUUGCCUUUGACACUAGCAGGCUUGAAUACUGUUGCCGUGGGAGGAAUGAGUAGUGUAGCGGUGAAAUGCAUAGAUAUUACUCAGAACACCGAUUGCGAAGGCAUCUCACGAAGCAGGCAUUGACGCUGAGGCACGAAAGCGU